rnacentral:rRNA from 1 species
GAUGAACGCUGGCGGCGUGCCUAAUACAUGCAAGUCGAGCGAAGCGGGGACGGGUGAGUAACACGUGGAUAACCUCCUAUAAGACUGGGAUAACUUCGGGAAACCGGAGCUAAACCGGAUACUUAUAGAUGGCUCCGCGCUGCAUUAGCUAGUUGGUAAGGUAACGGCUUACCAAGGCAACGAUGCAUAGCCGACCUGAGAGGGGGAACGGGACAACGGGAACUGGGACCCGGGCCGAACCUCUACGGGGGGGAAACGUGGGGAAUCCUCCGGAAGGGGCGAAAGCCUGACGGAGCAACGCCGCGUGAGUGAUGAAGGUCUUCGGAUCGUAAAACUCUGUUAUUAGGGAAGCGGUACCUAAUCAGAAAGCCACGGCUAACUACGUGCCAGCAGCCGCGGUAAUUC